rnacentral:rRNA from 1 species
GUUGAACGCUGGCGGCAGGCCUAACACAUGCAAGUCGAACGAGGGGCGGACGGGUGAGUAAUGUCUGGGAAACUGCCUGAUGGAGGGGGAUAACUAUGGGAAAGGGUAGCUAAUACCGCAUACAAUCAGAUGUGCACAAAUGGGCUUAGAUUGUUGGUGGGGUAACGGCUAACCAAGACGACGAUCCCGAGCUGGUCUGAGAGGAGGACCGCCCACACUGGACCUGGGACACGGUCCAGACUCCUCCGGGAGGCAGCAUUGGGGAAUAUUGCACAUUGGGCGCAAGCCUGAUGCAGCCAUGCCGCGUGUAUGCAGAAGGCCUUCGGGUUGUAAAGUACUUUCGGCGGGGAGGCGUUACCCGCAGAAGAAGCACCGGCUAACUCCGUGCCAGCAGCCGCGGUAAUUC